rnacentral:tRNA from 1 species
AGGAAGCAUGCAAGAACUGCUAACUCAUGCUCCCGUGCCUACACUCACGGCUUCCUC